rnacentral:rRNA from 1 species
ACAUGCCUACAACAUAGAGUUAAUGCACCAGAUCCCAUUAGAACUCUAUAGUUAAGCAUGCUCAGGCUAGAGUAGUACUGGGAUGGGUGACUGCUCGAAAAGUCCUAGUGUUUUACAUGCC